UCCAUGUGAGAGAGAUGCAUCAAUUGGUUGCCUCCCUCAGGGUGGAGCCUGCAACCAAGGUGUGUGCCCUUGACCAGAAUCGAACCCACAACCCUCAGUCCAAGGGCCAACACUCUAACCAAGGAGACAAACAAGUCAGGGCCUCAUACUGUCUUGACUUAAUUCUUCCUCCAACCAGACACAUGGUCACUCCCUCAGUCCAUCUGGUCCCAAUACAAUCUACACACUACCCUUCCGUCAUCUCUGCCUCAAGGAACCCUGCCUCUCUCCAGCAAUUCCACUUCUGUAUUUAUGCUCAGCCUUCUAGGGAAAUUCACCCACAUGUGAAGACUCCACAGAAUCAUGGUUUCCAAUGUCAAGUCCUGGAUCUGCCACUUCAGGCCACGAAAUGCUUGUUACUCCAUCUCUGCAAGGUUUGGCCUCCUCACCACCAAGUGGAAAUCAAGGACACCUGGCUCUCCGGAGCGCAGAGGAGGGUCGGGGCGGGCAUGCAGCACACUGUAGUAAAUGUUAGCGACAGCAAUUGCCAUCAUUGCUGACGGCCAGCCCUCCCCAAGAGGGCAAGGGGAAGUUUCUCUGAAAUACUCACAGCUGGUCCAAGCCUCCAAAUUCCUUCUCCAGCCCCUCAUCCCGCCUCUUCCGCGAUCAUUCACCACUCAGCUCCUCCUUCAUGGGGGAGACAAAGCCAUUGGCAUAGGUCUCGUUCUCAUUUGUCCACAUUCUCUGCCCAUUCCUUGCUCCAUGUUGAGGAUGUGCUCUUACCCUGGCCCUGUCCAGGGCUGAUUCCCUUCCUCGGCCUUCAGGUGCCAGCCUUGCCCCCAUGUCAGCUUCCAUCAGCGGGCCCCUCACUGUCUUGUGCCUUCGACCUCUCCAGUGGCCCCAUCCUUCCAGCAACAAAAAGCAAGCACUUAAAGAGACGUCAUUUCUGAGAAGAUGGAGUCAAUAUCGUUUUCCUGUUCCCUUCUCUAAGUACAACUAAAAACCCAGGACGUUAUAUAUAAGACAAACAUAGGAAAACUGAAAGGUGGAGAGAGGAAGACAGACUGACUACGGAUCCUAGCACUAGAGGAAGUGCAUGGUGGUGAGUUACCUGAGUCUUCUUUUUCCCUUAUCCAUCCCCAAAUUGGAGCCGAAGAAGCCAGCAACCAGGAGACACCAACAGAGAAGGAGGCAAAAAGCCCUGCUAGGGCCGCCAUAACGAAACACCACAGAUUGGAUGGCUUUGGUAUUGGGAUAAUGCUCGUCUAAUAGAUGUGAGGUAGGUAGAAACUGCUCCUUGCUCUUUGAUUUUUGAGAAGAAUUUAAGAAGGGUUGGUAUUAAUUCUUCUUUAAAUGUUUGGUAAAACUCACCGCUUAGCCACCGGGUCCAGGACUUUUCUCAGUUCAGAGAUUUUUUGAUUACUCACUCGAUCUCUGAACAAGAAUACCAAAGCCAGACGAAGAGACAAGAACACCACAGACCAAUAUCCCUUAUGAGUAUUUACUCAAAAAUCCUCAACAAAACAUGAGUAAAUCAAAUUCAGCAGCAUAUUAAAAGGAGUAUAUACCAUGACCAACUGGGAUUUAUUCCUUGAUCGCAGCUAUGGGUCAACACCCACAAAACUCAGUCAACAUGAUAUACACCAUUCAGGCACUGCAGCCCCAGUGUUAAUGAAUCAUUACAGGCUUUUCUGCUUGCUAUGUGCGUCUUCCACAUUUUACAUUCUCAUCAGCAUGUGAUCUGUUCUGACUAAACGGAUCAGCUGAGAUUGAAUUAAUUCAUUAAUUUUAGCAAAAGCAUGAGGAUGUGCGUGCGGAUGGACGGACCUCUGAUUCACAGCUGGCGGAGGAAGAUUUUUGAAUUAAUCACCAGAAUCUUAGAGGUCUCUUGUUAAAGAAGCAGGAACAUUGAGAGGAUUGAGCUUUCCUGUCUUCAGAGAGAGUGA